UACGGAGGGUGCAAGCGUUAUCCGGAUUUACUGGGUUUAAAGGGUGUGUAGGCGGACUUUUAAGUCAGGGGUGAAAUCCCGAGGCUCAACCUCGGAACUGCCUUUGAUACUAUUGGUCUUGAAUCUUGUUGAGGUGGGCGGAACGGGUCAUGUAGCGGUGAAAUGCAUAGAUAUGACCCGGAACACCGAUUGCGAAGGCAGCCCGCUAAGCAAGCAUUGACGCUGAGGCACGAAAGCCGUGGGGAUCAAACAGG
rnacentral:rRNA from 1 species